GAGUUUGUUGGCUCAGAUUGAACGCUGGCGGCAUGCCUUACACAUGCAAGUCGAACGGCAGCACGGGAGCUUGCUCCUGGUGGCGAGUGGCGAACGGGUGAGUAAUGCCUAGGAAUCUGCCUGGUAGUGGGGGACAACGUUUCGAAAGGAACGCUAAUACCGCAUACGUCCUACGGGAGAAAGCAGGGGACCUUCGGGCCUUGCGCUAUCAGAUGAGCCUAGGUCGGAUUAGCUAGUUGGUGGGGUAAUGGCUCACCAAGGCGACGAUCCGUAACUGGUCUGAGAGGAUGAUCAGUCACACUGGAACUGAGACACGGUCCAGACUCCUACGGGAGGCAGCAGUGGGGAAUAUUGGACAAUGGGCGAAAGCCUGAUCCAGCCAUGCCGCGUGUGUGAAGAAGGUCUUCGGAUUGUAAAGCACUUUAAGUUGGGAGGAAGGGCAGUAAGUUAAUACCUUGCUGUUUUGACGUUACCGACAGAAUAAGCACCGGCUAACUCUGUGCCAGCAG
rnacentral:rRNA from 1 species